GUGAGGUUAUGGCUCAGUGGUAGAGUAUUUUCCUAGCAUGUGUGAGGCGCUGGGUUCAAUUCUCAGCAUCACA
rnacentral:tRNA from 1 species